rnacentral:rRNA from 1 species
UGAAUACGAGAUACUACGGUGUCGAAGCAGUCUAUGUCAUACUUCCAAGAAAAGCUUGCACUGUCAUAAACAAAUAAUGCCUGUACCAUAACCGACACAGGUGGGUAGGUAGAGUAUACUAAGGGGCGCGAGAUAACUCUCUCUAAGGAACUCGGCAAAAUGACUCCGUAACUUCGGGAGAAGGAGUGCCUUAUAUUUAUAAGGUUGCAAUAACAAGAUCCAAGCAACUGUUUAUCAAAAACACAGGUCUCCGCUAAGUCGUAAGACGAUGUAUGGGGGCUGACGCCUGCCCAGUGCCAGAAGGUUAAAGAAGUUGGUUAGCUUUUGCGAAGCUGAUAACUGAAGCCCUGGUGAACGGCGGCCGUAACAAUAACGGUCCUAAGGUAGCGAAAUUCCUUGUCGGGUAAGUUCCGACCCGCACGAAAGGCGUAAUGAUUUGGAUACUGUCUCGGAGAGGGACUCGGUGAAAUAGACUUGUCUGUGAAGAUGCGGACUACUUGCACCAGGACAGAAAGACCCUAUGAAGCUUUACUGUAACCUGAAAUUGAAAUUGGACUUUACUUGCGCAGGAUAGGUGGGAGGCUUUGAGAAUACUCUUGCGGGAAUAUUGGAGCCAUCAGUGAGAUACCACUCUGGUAAUGUUAGAUUUCUAACUUUGUAUCAUUAUCUGGUCAAAGAACAGUUUCAGGCGGGCAGUUUGACUGGGGCGGUCGCCUCCUAAACGGUAACGGAGGCGCACAAAGGUUUCCUCUGAACGGGUAGAAAUCGUAUCUAGAGUGUAAAGGCAUAAGGAAGCUUGACUGUGAGACCUACAAGUCGAGCAGGGACGAAAGUCGGUCUUAGUGAUCUGACGGUGCUGAGUGGAAAGGCCGUCACUCAACGGAUAAAAGUUACUCUAGGAUAACAGGCUGAUCUCCCCCAAGAGUUCACAUCGACGGGGAGGUUUGGCACCUCGAUGUCGGCUCAUCGCAUCCUGGGGCGGUAGUACGUCCCAAGGGUUGGGCUGUUCGCCCAUGAAAGCGGUACGCGAGCUGGGUUCAGAACGUCGUGAGACAGUUCGGUCCAUAUCCGGUGUAAGCGUUAGAAUAUUGAGAGGAGCCUUCUUUAGUACGAGAGGACCGAGAAGGAUGCACCGCUGGUGUACCAGUUAUUGUGCCAACAGUAAACGCUGGGUAGCUAUGUGUGGAGUGGAUAACCGCUGAAAGCAUCUAAGUGGGAAGCCCACCUCAAGAUAAG